UACGUAGGGUGCGAGCGUUGUCCGGAAUUACUGGGCGUAAAGAGCUCGUAGGUGGUUUGUCGCGUUGUUCGUGAAAACUCACAGCUCAACUGUGGGCGUGCGGGCGAUACGGGCAGACUAGAGUACUGCAGGGGAGACUGGAAUUUCUGGUGUAGCGGUGGAAUGCGCAGAUAUCAGGAGGAACACCGGUGGCGAAGGCGGUUCUCUGGGCAUUACCUGACGCUGAGGAGCGAAAGUGUGGGGAGCGAACAGG
rnacentral:rRNA from 1 species